rnacentral:rRNA from 1 species
UACGGAGGGUGCAAGCGUUAAUCGGAAUUACUGGGCGUAAAGCGUGCGUAGGCGGUUCGUUAAGUCUGUUGUGAAAGCCCCGGGCUCAACCUGGGAAUGGCAAUGGAUACUGGCGAGCUAGAGUGUGUCAGAGGAUGGUGGAAUUCCCGGUGUAGCGGUGAAAUGCGUAGAGAUCGGGAGGAACACCUGUGGCGAAAGCGGCUCACUGGACCACAACUGACGCUGAGGCGCGAAAGCUAGGGGAGCAAACAGG